AGUCUGAACAGGGCGUAUGAAGUCAAAUGUAUUCGACCCGAAACCGGGUGACCUACCCAUGGCCAGGCUGAAGUAAAGGUAAAACUUUAUGGAGGGCCGAACCGACUCCCGUUGAAAUGGUAGCGGAUGAGUUGUGGGUAGCGGAGAAAUUCCAAUCGAACCCGGAGAUAGCUGGUUCUCUCCGAAAUAGCUUUAGGGCUAGCCUUGAAAUAGAUUACUGCAGGUAAAGCACUGAAUUGGCUAGGGGCCGAGAGGUUACUGAACCUUAUCAAACUAAGAAUGGCAGAUAAUCGUUUUUCAGGAGUCAGACAGUGUGAGAUAAGUCUCAUUGUCAAAAGGGAAAGAGCCCAGACCCACAGCUAAGGUCCCAAAUCAUAGUUAAGUGGAAAACGAUGUGGAAUUGCUUAGACAACCAGGAUGUUGGCUUAGAAGCAGCCACUCAUUAAAAGAGUGCGUAAUAGCUCACUGGUCGAGUGAUUCUGCGCGGAAAAUUUAACGGGGCUAAACUAUGAACCGAAGCUUGGGAUACCGUAAGGUAUGGUAGGAGAGCGUCGUAUACGGGGUGAAGUCAGAGCGAAAGCG
rnacentral:rRNA from 1 species